UGAGUCAUACUCUAUAUGCAGCCUCUUGGUGUGCACACUGUAGGAAGUGGGUGGCCCCCUGUCCUGUCAGUGCCGUCCUGCAAAUAGUCCUUCAGUCACAGAGCGUGGAAAUAUGUGUGUGUGCUUGUGCGCACUUACACUUGCAACUGUGUGCAUUUCUUUGCAUGUGGGAAAAGCAAAGUAAGAGUAACACACACUUACAAGAUAAACAUAUGAGAACAGUCAAUUGGGAUAUAACCCCUUUAUACCUUUAUAUGGAAGGAAGAAAAAAAAACAGCUGAAAUGUACACGAGACCUAAGCAUUUAGAAUGAGUGACAGUGGAGAGCUCAAAUAUGGUGUAGCACUACUCUCUGCACUCCCCCUGUGUGAGAACGGGCUCAAGUCCUUUGUUCAAGGGAAGCUUAUGCCAUUCCCACAGAUGAGGUGGUGUUUCUGGAGUCUGUAAAACCAGAGGGCUCUCGAUUAGCGUUUUCAGGACUGGGACGUUCCACGGCCAUGUCUGAAAAAGGGCCUGGCUGCAGCUCUUUCUUGAAUGAGGCGGAGCCACAAUGCAAGUGUACCGCAAGCACACAUGCACAGACACAUGGGUGGACCGCUAAAUAGCUGGAACUCCUAUUUUUUAGCCUCACAAUAUUGAAAAACUGUUUCAAAGGUUUAUUUCCCCCAGUGUUCCCUAAAAUUAAAAAGACUUGUUUAAAAAAGUAGCAUACAGUCAGUGAUGUUUAUUUCGAACUUUCUGUUUACUUCACAGGGAGGCACAGUGGUUGCCUCACCGCAAGAAUGUCCAGGGUUCAAAUCCAGGCUGGGCCUUUCUGUGUGGAGUUCCGGUUUUCUCCCACGGUCCAAAGACGUGGAGAUUUAUUUUUGGGAAGACAGCAGAUGGCGCCAUCACCACAUCUUUCCUGGGUGGUCGUUCCUGAUAACCUAGGGGCGUAACUAUACAACUUGAUGACAAUACCAUAGUGGUACUCUGAAAAACAAUACAAUUUCUCUGAAUUUAUAACAGUAUGAUACAAUUAAUGACUAAUCACAAUACGAUGUCAUUAGCUGCAAUGUGAAUGUGAACAUUAGAUUUGACAGAUUCCCCCUACCCCACCAACUCUCAAGAAAUCACUGUAAUAAUAGUAUACAUUUCAAUGUUAAGUGCCUUUAACUUCAGUGCCUCAAUCUGCCUAAACAAGGUUUGUCAUGUAAAUUAAUUAAGUCAUCGCGAUACAAAUUAUACAUAUCACAAUGAUGCAGUUGCAUUGUGACGUUUGCCUUGCGAUGCAUUGAUGCAUCGGUUUUAUUACACACCCAACAAUGAUGCAUGAUGGGUAGAAUUUGCCUUGUUUUCCUUGAUAACACUUUGACAGGUAUGAAAGUAACAAAUAAUACGGUGAUUUUGGAUAUUCUCACUGUAUUACUGAAAUGUGUAACUGGUCUUUCCCCGUUUUAUAAAAUACAUACGGACCAAAGAAGCCCUGAAGCGAUAAUUUCACAAAUACCUGUACACAAUAC